rnacentral:lncRNA from 1 species
CUUUACUGCAGAUAUUUUGUUUUAAAAAUAGCUUUGCAUAGUAAAUGCAAUUACUUUUGUAAAACUAAUUAUGUUAAGCCGUAUGUUCAGACACUUUCUGCCAUGGCCAAAAAGUAUGUAUGAAAGUGUGUGUGUAUUUUCUGUGAAAGGAUGCCAGUGUUUUACCUGAUAUUGUAGUGACACUUCAGUUAUCUAUGCAUUCUUUGUAUCUGUGAUUCGGUAAACAGGCAGCCAUGUUCACUAUGCCUUGUAUGUCUUAUCAUUUUUUUAAUUAACCUGUUAAAUACAUAGAAGAAACGGCAAAAUACUUACAAGUUUCUUUUUAUUUUUUAAAAGCAGCUAGAUAGACGCAUACUUGCCACCUCAUACGUGUGCUCCUUGGCCACAUCAAGGGCAAUAGCCAACAUGCCUAUGGCUAAAAACUUUACUUUGCAAACUUAAAGCACUGCUCGGUGCUUCAUUUUUAUAUCCUUCACAACACGUGUGAACUCAUCCAGAGACACACACAUGUCCUCAUGCCCUUUGUUUCCA